rnacentral:lncRNA from 1 species
UCAAUUCUGGAAAAUUAAAUGAAAAUACUAUAAGGAAAUUAAAUCAUGUCUCAAAUAGGUUACAUCAAACCCUAGAUUUAAAAGUUUAGUUCAUGAUGGAGAAUAAAAUUGCAAUGAAAUACAAACUAGAGUGCAUGUAUAAGAGAAAGAUAGAAAAAAACUCUAGUUGCUGCUCUAUUUCUCAAUCUUGUUGCUUGAUUUCUCAGUUUUUUGCCUUCUUCUUCUCCAAAAUUGGGUUAAUCUUCUCUCAAUUGGUGCUUCUCUUUCUCUUGCCUCUUCAGCCGUCUAACCCCCCUCUCUCCUUCUUCAUCUUGGUAUUUAUAUUUUCUAAGAGUCCUCAAGGGUUAAGGUAUGAUUUUUUGGCCGAAAAGAUAAUUAAAAAUUUAGGUUUUAACGUUUCGAGAUUUGGUGCCACGGCGCCCAAGCAUGGCGCCAUGUCACCGCGAUUAUCAUGGUAACUAGCGCCAGAGUUUCUGCUUUUGUUGGUCUUCAUUGGGCACCACGGCGCCAGUGGUUCUAUUGAAAUUCAUCGCUUUGGGGCGCCAUGGCGCCCCUUUUUUGGCGUCGUGGCGUCAAUGCCAAUGCCACUGCUUUGCUUCUCUUCACUUUAUUUUCCAAGCCUAUUUUCCACUCCAAUCUUAUUCAAUACUUGCUUAUUCAUGCUCCAUUUCAUUGAUCAUCAUUUUUGCUCAUCACAGGCUUCCAAUAGUGGUAUUUUCUCGAGAGUUGUCCAAACUGCAAAAAAACACGAACAGACACAUCAAAACGUUCAAAAAUGCCCAAGAACGCAUCAAAAAACGUGAUUUAGAAGUUUUAGUUUAAUGAGUGAAUUACAUUCAUCAGUAGUGAUCAAUCUAAGGAGUGACUUAAGGCAAUGAAAGAAGAGAUGAGUUCUCUAGAAAAAAAAGCAUAGUUGGGUGAUGGUAACUAGGCCUAAGAACAAAUCAAUCGUUGAUUGCAAAUGGGUCUUUAAGGUUAAAGAAAGUACUAGUUGUUCGGAACCCUUAAGGUUUAAAUCCAGGUUUUUUUUUUUUUUUUUUUUUUGGCAAAUACCACUAGUGUGGUUUAUUUUAUAUAAUGAAAAGCGAGAAAACAAAUAUAGGAGGGGGGCAUUGACCUAACCUCCAGCAAAUGUAAAUUGCAACAAAUAUUUGAAGAUAAAAUGCAAUCAUAAUAAACAAGACACGAACAAAAACUAAUGAAAGGUACUCAAGGGUAUUCCCGAGGGUAAAUUUUCGGGUGGUAGUACAUGGACAUCGAUCGGGUCAUGCGUCUGGUCUGAAACACUUCUGGAUCAUAGUAGUUGUUAAGUACACCACUAUUAGGGUUAUGCUUGCCUUGGUUACACAUUUUGACUGGGAACUUGAACAACUUGAUGUAAAAAUUGCUUGUUUACAUGGUGAGCUUGACGAACAAAUCUUCAUGAAUCAACCAAAAGGUUUUAAGGAUAAGUCAAAGCCUGAUUAUGUGUGUUUUCUGAGAAGAUCCUUAUAUGGGUUAAAACAAUCUCCUAGACAGUGG